GACGAACGCUGGCGGCGUGCUUAACACAUGCAAGUCGAACGGAAAGGCCCUGCUUUUGUGGGGUACUCGAGUGGCGAACGGGUGAGUAACACGUGAGUACCCUGCCCUUGCCUUUGGGAUAACUUCAGGAACCUGGGGCUAAUCCCGGAUAGGAGCUCCUGCUGCAUGGUGGGGGUUGGAAAGUUUCGGCGGUUGGGGAUGGACUCGCGGCUUAUCAGCUUGUUGGUGGGGUAGUGGCUUACCAAGGCUUUGACGGGUAGCCGGCCUGAGAGGGUGACCGGCCACAUUGGGACUGAGAUACGGCCCAGACUCCUACGGGAGGCAGCAGUGGGGAAUAUUGCAUAAUGGGCGGAAGCCUGAUGCAGCAACGCCGCGUGCGGGAUGACGGCCUUCGGGUUGUAAACCGCUUUCGCCUGUGACGAAGCGUGAGUGACGGUAAUGGGUAAAGAAGCACCGGCUAACUACGUG
rnacentral:rRNA from 1 species